rnacentral:rRNA from 1 species
GAACGAUACUUUCCAGCUUGCUUGGAAGGAAAGUGCGGCACGGGUGCGUAACGCGUAUGCAACCUACCUUAAUCAGGGGGAUAGCCCGAAGAAAUUCGGAUUAACACCGCAUAAAAACACAGGAUAGCAUUAUCCAAUGUUCAAAUAUUUAUAGGAUUAAGAUGGGCAUGCGUGUCAUUAGCUAGUUGGCGGGGUAACGGCCCACCAAGGCGACGAUGACUAGGGGAUCUGAGAGGAUGACCCCCCACACUGGUACUGAGACACGGACCAGACUCCUACGGGAGGCAGCAGUAAGGAAUAUUGGUCAAUGGAGGCAACUCUGAACCAGCCAUGCCGCGUGCAGGAAGACAGCCCUCUGGGUCGUAAACUGCUUUUAUUCGGGAAUAAACCUACUUACGUGUAAGUAGCUGAAUGUACCGAAGGAAUAAGGAUCGGCUAACUCCGUGCCAGCAGCCGCGGUAAUACGGAGGAUCCAAGCGUUAUCCGGAUUUAUUGGGUUUAAAGGGUGCGUAGGCGGCUUAUUAAGUCAGGGGUGAAAGACGGUGGCUCAACCAUCGCAGUGCCCUUGAUACUGAUGAGCUUGAAUACACUAGAGGUAGGCGGAAUGUGACAAGUAGCGGUGAAAUGCAUAGAUAUGUCACAGAACACCGAUUGCGAAGGCAGCUUACUAUGGUGUGAUUGACGCUGAGGCACGAAAGCGUGGGGAUCAAACAGGAUUAGAUACCCUGGUAGUCCACGCCCUAAACGAUGAAUACUCGCUGUUAGCGAUACACAGUUAGCGGCUAAGCGAAAGCGUUAAGUAUUCCACCUGGGGAGUACGGUCGCAAGAUUGAAACUCAAAGGAAUUGACGGGGGCCCGCACAAGCGGAGGAGCAUGUGGUUUAAUUCGAUGAUACGCGAGGAACCUUACCCGGGCUUGAAAGUUAGUGAAUCAUUUAGAGAUAGAUGAGUGAGCAAUCACACGAAACUAGGUGCUGCAUGGCUGUCGUCAGCUCGUGCCGUGAGGUGUUGGGUUAAGUCCCGCAACGAGCGCAACCCCUAUGUUUAGUUGCCAGCACGUUAAGGUGGGGACUCUAAACAGACUGCCUGUGCAAACAGAGAGGAAGGAGGGGACGACGUCAAGUCAUCAUGGCCCUUACGUCCGGGGCUACACACGUGCUACAAUGGAUGGUACAGAGGGCAGCUAGCUGGUAACAGUAUGCGAAUCUCACAAAGCCAUUCACAGUUCGGAUAGAGGUCUGCAACUCGACCUCUUGAAGUUGGAUUCGCUAGUAAU